GUUUCCGUGGUGUAGUGGUUAUCACGCUCGCCUGACACGCGAGAGGUCCUUGGCUCGAAAGCGAGCGGAAGCA